GACGAACGCUGGCGGCGUGCUUAACACAUGCCAGUCGUACGGUAAGGCCCUUUCGGGGGUACACGAGUGGCGAACGGGUGAGUAACACGUGAGUAACCUGCCCACAACUUUGGGAUAACGCUAGGAAACUGGUGCUAAUACUGGAUAUGUGCUCCUGCUGCAUGGUGGGGGUUGGAAAGCUCCGGCGGUUGUGGAUGGACUCGCGGCCUAUCAGCUUGUUGGUGGGGUAGUGGCCUACCAAGGCGGCGACGGGUAGCCGGCCUGAGAGGGUGACCGGCCACAUUGGGACUGAGAUACGGCCCAGACGCCUACGGGAGGCAGCAGUGGGGAAUAUUGCACAAUGGGCGCAAGCCUGAUGCAGCAACGCCGCGUGCGGGAUGACGGCCUUCGGGUUGUAAACCGCUUUCAGCAGGGACGAAGCUUUUUGUGACGGUACCUGCAGAAGAAGCACCGGCUAACUACGUG
rnacentral:rRNA from 1 species